rnacentral:tRNA from 1 species
GGAGAGGUGCCCGAGCGGCUGAAGGGGCGCGCCUGGAGAGCGCGUAGGCGGGCCAAACCUGCCUCGUGGGUUCAAAUCCCACCCUCUCCGCCA